CUGUCUUCUAUCUGCUGAAGAUGCGAAUUUUGUAGAACAGCAAAAGUAGAGACUUUUGUCAACUCGUGCAACAACAUUUCUACAUGCCAGGAGAGGGACGGUAACAAGGAUAAACAUGGUGUUAAACAUCAGGAGUCAGAAAGAUCACUGUAGCAAACUGGUAGACUUCCAUUAAGGCCAUUGACCCAGUCUAUAUCUAUUGCAGGUGCCAUAUAAAUGCAGAGUUCUGUAAUUUUGUACAGCAAACAGUAAAUGUCCAACUGGAAAUCUUCCCAGUGAUUUGAAAAUGUGAUUUCCUCUAAGUUUGGCUACUCAAAAUCACUACAGCAACUAUGAAGAACCAAGCAUCCCUUCAUGAGCUGAGCCGAUCUCUGUGAACUUGGUGACCUUGCAGGUGGAAGAGGGGUGAUACUACCAAUUCCAACUCAUACUGAGUCUUCCUCCAGGGGUAAACCAAGA
rnacentral:lncRNA from 11 species